AAUGAUAUCGUUUCUUUAAUGUUUUAGUUUUGGACUUUUCUUCUUGAACUUUGGCGGCACUAGAAUAUUCUCCUAAAUUAUCGAGACUUCGUUAUAUAGUAUAGUAUUGUUCCCUUUACCAGAUAAUCAAGGUACGCGUUGAUUUGAGUUUUGAUCAACCUAGUUUUGAUAAUAACAGACCUAGCUGUAUACAUACAGCUCAUACAGUUUAAAUUUCAAAGAACUGUUAAUUUGAAUUCUUACAAUAAUAUUGUAGUAUUAGUUUAUAGUCAAAACUACCAAAAACAAAAAAAAAACUAGUUAGGC
rnacentral:lncRNA from 1 species